CUGGUCGUUGAUGAGUCUAAAGUUUCUCAUAUGAGUUUAAUCGACCAUGAGAUAAGUUUACAUGCACUACCAUCUGAGACCAA